rnacentral:rRNA from 1 species
GUCUACAGCCAUGCCACCCUGAACGUUGCAAUCUCAUCUGACCUCUGAAGCUAAGCAGGGUCGGGCCUGCUUAGUGCUUGGAUAGGAUUCCACCUAGGAAUACCUGGUGCUGUAGGCA